GAGAUAGCGUGGGGGGGAUCGGAGUUAGAGGCAGGGAGGAGAAGGGGGGAAAGUUCUCGGGGGAGGCAAAAAAAAAAAAGUUUUUUCUCCUCCGCAAAAGGCGGGCAGGGCGCCCUAAGUCCAAGGACAAUCCAUGGAAGUGUUCGCUUCUUCACAAGUUGUGCAAACGAUUUGUUAGUUCAUGAGCCUAAUUAGUGCGGGGAUCACAUAAACAGCUUCCUCCGAAGCCUGGUAAAUGGCUUGAUGAUUGGUCGCUAUUACUCGCCCUGAGGUGGAAGGGGGGAGACUCUUUAAAGUGCGUCAGAGGGAGGCGAGCGCCUGGGAACCCGGAGGCCUGGAUCCGGGCCGAGAGUGGAACGGACUCGGCGCCGCUGUCUCGGUCGAGCCUCCUGCCGCCCGCCGGGCCUCCUGGCCUCUCCGCGCCUUCGCCCCGCGCUCCCAGCUCACUCGCUCCUGCGGCGCCCGCUGCGGCUUCUCCUCCUCCUCCUUCUUCGCCUCCUCCUCUUCCUCCGGUUUCUUCUUCUCCUCCUCCUCUUCUUCCUCCUCCUCCUCUUUCCCCACCUCCUCCCCCUCAGCCACCGCCUCCUCCUCCACCAGCACCACUCCCUCCGGGGCACCCCGGUCCCUGCAGAGUCCCUGGCCGGCGCCGCCUCUGCUGCGGCCCCCUGAAUCCCAAGCCUGCUGCGCCCAAGCUGGUAGGACAGACGGACAGACAGAUUCCUCACGUCUAGCGCUCCGCCGCUGCUGCCCCGCGCGGCCCCGCGUCGGGGGAACAGGGAUCGCUCCGGGAGCACCGCGAGGAUACUGUAUUGGCAUUUGAGAUUGAAAAGUGAAAAAUCCUAUGAUAUCUUCCCUCAAGAAGCUCACUCCAUAGCCAUGAAAGACUAACCUUGUAAAUACUAUGUUUUCAUACUAUGGAAAACUGUAUAGUGUAGCUACUGCAAAGAUGGAAGCUCUCUCUCUGUAGUGUCAUGGAAAGACCUCCAAGACCUAUUAAGGGGGAAAAAAGCAAACUCCAGGACAAUACAUGAUAUGAUCCCAUUAAUGCUUAAAAUAAAUACUACUUGUUUGUG